CUGAUGCAGCCAUGCCGCGUGUGUGAAGAAGGCCUUCGGGUUGUAAAGCACUUUCAGUUGUGAGGAAAGUUUAGUAGUUAAUACCUGCUAGAUGUGACGUUAGCAACAGAAGAAGCACCGGCUAACUCCGUGCCAGCAGCCGCGGUAAUACGGAGGGUGCGAGCGUUAAUCGGAAUUACUGGGCGUAAAGCGCACGCAGGCGGUCUGUUAAGCUAGAUGUGAAAGCCCCGCGCUCAACGUGGGAGGGUCAUUUAGAACUGGCAGACUAGAGUCUUGGAGAGGGGAGUGGAAUUCCAGGUGUAGCGGUGAAAUGCGUAGAGAUCUGGAGGAACAUCAAUGGCGAAGGCAACUCCCUGGCCAAAGACUGACGCUCAUGUGCGAAAGUGUGGGUAGCGAACAGGAUUAGAUACCCUGGUAGUCCACACCGUAAACGCUGUCUACUAGCUGUUUGUGAAUUUAAUUCGUGAGUAGCGAAGCUAACGCGAUAAGUAGACCGCCUGGGGAGUACGGCCGCAAGGUUAAAACUCAAAGAAAUUGACGGGGGCCCGCACAAGCGGUGGAGCAUGUGGUUUAAUUCGAAGCAACGCGCAGAACCUUACCUACCCUUGACAUGCCCGGUAAGACCUCGAGAGAUCUUGGUCGUCAUUUAGUUGGCCGGUGCACAGGUGCUGCAUGGCUGUCGUCAGCUCGUGUCGUGAGAUGUUGGGUUAAGUCCCGCAACGAGCGCAACCCUCAUCCUUAGUUGCCAGCAGGUUUGGCUGGGCACUCUAAGGAAACUGCCCGUGGCAAGCGGGAGGAAGGUGGGGAUGACGUCAAGUCCUCAUGGCCCUUACGGGUAGGG
rnacentral:rRNA from 1 species